AUAGUCCUGAAUGGUUAGGCUACCAUUUAUGAAGAAAUACAUAACCAUCUGUCCGCAUGGUCAAAGUAGUAUUAAUAUUUGGCUACAUACAGCAGUCACUGCAGCUGACACUUGUCUUUAUUGAGUAUGUAGUUGCUAUCAGCAGUUGUAUGUAUUAUGAAAUUUAGAGGAAUAUCAUAUUUUCUCAAAGCUAAUCAAAUGUCUAAUAUCUUUAUACAAGUCUCUUUACUAGCAGGAGAGCAUGUAACGCCAUGUAUUCUGAUAAAGUAGCCAAGGUGUAU